GGGUUGUGAGGUUAAGCGACUAAGCGUACACGGUGGAUGCCCUGGCAGUCAGAGGCGAUGAAGGGCGUGCUAAUCUGCGAUAAGCGCCGGUAAGGUGAUAUGAACCGUUAUAACCGGCGAUACCCGAAUGGGGAAACCCAGUGUGAUUCGUCACACUAUCAUUAACUGAAUCCAUAGGUUAAUGAGGCGAACCGGGGGAACUGAAACAUCUAAGUACCCCGAGGAAAAGAAAUCAACCGAGAUUCCCCCAGUAGCGGCGAGCGAACGGGGAGGAGCCCAGAGCCUGAAUCAGCAUGUGUGUUAGUGGAAGCGUCUGGAAAGGCGCGCGAUACAGGGUGACAGCCCCGUACACAAAAGCGCAUGUGCUGUGAGCUCGAUGAGUAGGGCGGGACACGUGGUAUCCUGUCUGAAUAUGGGGGGACCAUCCUCCAAGGCUAAAUACUCCUGACUGACCGAUAGUGAACCAGUACCGUGAGGGAAAGGCGAAAAGAACCCCGGCGAGGGGAGUGAAAAAGAACCUGAAACCGUGUACGUACAAGCAGUGGGAGCACAGGUUUACCUGUGUGACUGCGUACCUUUUGUAUAAUGGGUCAGCGACUUAUAUUCUGUAGCAAGGUUAACCGUAUAGGGGAGCCGUAGGGAAACCGAGUCUUAACCGGGCGUUAAGUUGCAGGGUAUAGACCCGAAACCCGGUGAUCUAGCCAUGGGCAGGUUGAAGGUUGGGUAACACUAACUGGAGGACCGAACCGACUAAUGUUGAAAAAUUAGCGGAUGACCUGUGGCUGGGGGUGAAAGGCCAAUCAAACCGGGAGAUAGCUGGUUCUCCCCGAAAGCUAUUUAGGUAGCGCCUCGUGAAUUCAUCUCCGGGGGUAGAGCACUGUUUCGGCUAGGGGGCCAUCCCGGCUUACCAACCCGAUGCAAACUGCGAAUACCGGAGAAUGUUAUCACGGGAGACACACGGCGGGUGCUAACGUCCGUCGUGAAGAGGGAAACAACCCAGACCGCCAGCUAAGGUCCCAAAGUCAUGGUUAAGUGGGAAACGAUGUGGGAAGGCCCAGACAGCCAGGAUGUUGGCUUAGAAGCAGCCAUCAUUUAAAGAAAGCGUAAUAGCUCACUGGUCGAGUCGGCCUGCGCGGAAGAUGUAACGGGGCUAAACCAUGCACCGAAGCUGCGGCAGCGAACGUAUCACUUAAAGCGAUUCAGCGGGUUACGAUUGACGGAGCGAAGCGACGUCAAAGCGUAUACAAAGUCGAGUCGGUUUAAGGAUACGUUCGUUGGGUAGGGGAGCGUUCUGUAAGCCUGUGAAGGUGGCCUGUGAGGGUUGCUGGAGGUAUCAGAAGUGCGAAUGCUGACAUAAGUAACGAUAAAGCGGGUGAAAAGCCCGCUCGCCGGAAGACCAAGGGUUCCUGUCCAACGUUAAUCGGGGCAGGGUGAGUCGACCCCUAAGGCGAGGCCGAAAGGCGUAGUCGAUGGGAAACGGGUUAAUAUUCCCGUACUUGGUGUUACUGCGAAGGGGGGACGGAGAAGGCUAUGUUGGCCGGGCGACGGUUGUCCCGGUUUAAGCGUGUAGGCUGGUUUUCCAGGCAAAUCCGGAAAAUCAAGGCUGAGGCGUGACGACGAGGCACUACGGUGCUGAAGCAACAAAUGCCCUGCUUCCAGGAAAAGCCUCUAAGCAUCAGGUAACAUCAAAUCGUACCCCAAACCGACACAGGUGGUCAGGUAGAGAAUACCAAGGCGCUUGAGAGAACUCGGGUGAAGGAACUAGGCAAAAUGGUGCCGUAACUUCGGGAGAAGGCACGCUGACACGUAGGUGAAGUGAUUUACUCACGGAGCUGAAGUCAGUCGAAGAUACCAGCUGGCUGCAACUGUUUAUUAAAAACACAGCACUGUGCAAACACGAAAGUGGACGUAUACGGUGUGACGCCUGCCCGGUGCCGGAAGGUUAAUUGAUGGGGUCAGCGCAAGCGAAGCUCCUGAUCGAAGCCCCGGUAAACGGCGGCCGUAACUAUAACGGUCCUAAGGUAGCGAAAUUCCUUGUCGGGUAAGUUCCGACCUGCACGAAUGGCGUAAUGAUGGCCAGGCUGUCUCCACCCGAGACUCAGUGAAAUUGAACUCGCUGUGAAGAUGCAGUGUACCCGCGGCAAGACGGAAAGACCCCGUGAACCUUUACUAUAGCUUGACACUGAACAUUGAGCCUUGAUGUGUAGGAUAGGUGGGAGGCUUUGAAGCGUGGACGCCAGUCUGCGUGGAGCCGACCUUGAAAUACCACCCUUUAAUGUUUGAUGUUCUAACGUGGACCCGUGAUCCGGGUUGCGGACAGUGUCUGGUGGGUAGUUUGACUGGGGCGGUCUCCUCCUAAAGAGUAACGGAGGAGCACGAAGGUUGGCUAAUCCUGGUCGGACAUCAGGAGGUUAGUGCAAUGGCAUAAGCCAGCUUGACUGCGAGCGUGACGGCGCGAGCAGGUGCGAAAGCAGGUCAUAGUGAUCCGGUGGUUCUGAAUGGAAGGGCCAUCGCUCAACGGAUAAAAGGUACUCCGGGGAUAACAGGCUGAUACCGCCCAAGAGUUCAUAUCGACGGCGGUGUUUGGCACCUCGAUGUCGGCUCAUCACAUCCUGGGGCUGAAGUAGGUCCCAAGGGUAUGGCUGUUCGCCAUUUAAAGUGGUACGCGAGCUGGGUUUAGAACGUCGUGAGACAGUUCGGUCCCUAUCUGCCGUGGGCGCUGGAGAACUGAGGGGGGCUGCUCCUAGUACGAGAGGACCGGAGUGGACGCAUCACUGGUGUUCGGGUUGUCAUGCCAAUGGCACUGCCCGGUAGCUAAAUGCGGAAGAGAUAAGUGCUGAAAGCAUCUAAGCACGAAACUUGCCCCGAGAUGAGUUCUCCCUGAGACUUAGAGUCUCCUGAAGGAACGUUGAAGACGACGACGUUGAUAGGCCGGGUGUGUAAGCGCAGCGAUGCGUUGAGCUAACCGGUACUAAUGAACCGUGAGGCUUAACCUUACAACGCCGAAG
rnacentral:rRNA from 7 species